CCUGUCCCUAGUGUCACUGCAGGCUUCUCUGUCACAUGGACAUCAGUAUGUGACAGAGAGGAGUGAGCCUAUGUCUACACUCAGUGUUCUGACCUGUGAACAUCAGAAUGAUUAGUGGCCUAACAUU